rnacentral:rRNA from 1 species
UACGAAGGGGACUAGCGUUGUUCGGAUUCAUUGGGCGUAAAGAGCGUGUAGGCGGCCAGGUAGGUCGGUUGUGAAAACUGGAGGCUCAACCUUCAGAGGUCGACCGAAACCAUCUGGCUAGAGUCCGGGAGAGGAGAGUGGAAUUCCUGGUGUAGCGGUGAAAUGCGCAGAUAUCAGGAAGAACACCCGUGGCGAAAGCGGCUCUCUGGAACGGUACUGACGCUGAGACGCGAAAGCGUGGGGAGCGAACAGG